rfam:Brachypodium distachyon strain Bd21 chromosome 1, whole genome shotgun sequence.
AAACUACUCACUCCGUCCAACAAAGUAUGUCUUAAGUUUCUCAAAAUUUGAAUGUAUGUAAAUUUGACUUAGUGUAUAGAUACAUUCAAAUUUAGUCAAAAUUGAGACAUCCUUUGUUGAACGGAGAAAGUAAAAU